rnacentral:rRNA from 1 species
UUAAAGGAAUUGACGGGACCCGCACAAGCAGCGGAGCGUGUGGUUUAAUUCGUUGCUACACGAAGAACCUUACCUGGGUUUUGACAUAUAGGUUGUAGGGAACUGAAAAGGGACCGACCCUUCGGGGAGCCUAUACAGGUGUUGCAUGGCUGUCGUCAGCUCGUGUCGUGAGAUGUUCGGUUAAGUCCGCUAACGAGCGCAACCCUCGUCGUAUGUUAUAUGUGUCAUACGAGACUGCCGGUAAAAGCCGGAGGAAGGUGAGGAUGAUGUCAAGUCAGCAUGACCUUUAUAUCCAGGGCUACACACACGCUACAAUGGUCUGUACAAUGGGUAGCCAAGCCGCGAGGCGGAGCCAAUCCUGAAAGCAGGCCUCAGUUCAGAUUGCAGUCUGCAACUCGACUGCAUGAAGCCGGAGUUGCUAGUAACCGCAGGUCAGCAAUACUGCGGUGAAUACGUUCCCGGGUCUU